GGACCAUCCUCCAAGGCUAAAUACUCCUGACUGACCGAUAGUGAACCAGUACCGUGAGGGAAAGGCGAAAAGAACCCCGGCGAGGGGAGUGAAAAAGAACCUGAAACCGUGUACGUACAAGCAGUGGGAGCCUCUUAAUGAGGUGACUGCGUACCUUUUGUAUAAUGGGUCAGCGACUUAUAUUCUGUAGCAAGGUUAACCGAAUAGGGGAGCCGAAGGGAAACCGAGUCUUAACUGGGCGUUAAGUUGCAGGGUAUAGACCCGAAACCCGGUGAUCUAGCCAUGGGCAGGUUGAAGGUUGGGUAACACUAACUGGAGGACCGAACCGACUAAUGUUGAAAAAUUAGCGGAUGACUUGUGGCUGGGGGUGAAAGGCCAAUCAAACCGGGAGAUAGCUGGUUCUCCCCGAAAGCUAUUUAGGUAGCGCCUCGUGAAUUCAUCUCCGGGGGUAGAGCACUGUUUCGGCAAGGGGGUCAUCCCGACUUACCAACCCGAUGCAAACUGCGAAUACCGGAGAAUGUUAUCACGGGAGACACACGGCGGGUGCUAACGUCCGUCGUGAAGAGGGAAACAACCCAGACCGCCAGCUAAGGUCCCAAAGUCAUGGUUAAGUGGGAAACGAUGUGGGAAGGCCCAGACAGCCAGGAUGUUGGCUUAGAAGCAGCCAUCAUUUAAAGAAAGCGUAAUAGCUCACUGGUCGAGUCGGCCUGCGCGGAAGAUGUAACGGGGCUAAACCAUG
rnacentral:rRNA from 1 species